rnacentral:rRNA from 1 species
CCUACGGGAGGCAGCAGUGAGGAAUAUUGGUCAAUGGCCGGAAGGCUGAACCAGCCAUGCCGCGUGAAGGUCAGUGCCCUAUGGGCGUUAAACUUCUUUUGUGCGGGAGCAAUAAUGGUCACGUGUGGCCAGACGAGAGUACCGUACGAAUAAGCAUCGGCUAACACCGUGCCAGCAGCCGCGGUAAUACGGGGGAUGCAAGCGUUAUCCGGGUUUAUUGGGUUUAAAGGGUGCGUAGGCUGUGAGGUAAGUCAGCGGUGAAAUGCCCCGGCUCAACGGGGUGAAGUGCCAUUGAUACUGGCUGGCUGGAGUGCGGAUGCCGUAGGAGGAAUGUGUGGUGUAGCGGUGAAAUGCAUAGAUAUCACACAGAACACCGAUUGCGAAGGCAUCUCACGAAUCCGCGAUUGACGCUGAUGCACGAAAGCGUGGGUAUCAAACAGGAUUAGAUACCCCAGUAGUC